rnacentral:rRNA from 1 species
GACGAACGCUGGCGGCGUGCCUAAUACAUGCAAGUCGAACGAGAGCGCCCGGUGCUUGCCCUGGUCAAUCUAGUGGCGAGCGGGUGAGUAACACGUGGGUAACCUGCCCAUCAGAGGGGGAUAACAUCCGGAAACGGAUGCUAAAACCGCAUAGGUCUUCGAGCCGCAUGGCUUGAAGAGGAAAAGAGGCGCAAGCUUCUGCUGAUGGAUGGACCCGCGGUGCAUUAGCUAGUUGGUGAGGUAACGGCUCACCAAGGCCGUGAUGCAUAGCCGACCUGAGAGGGUGAUCGGCCACAUUGGGACUGAGACACGGCCCAAACUCCUACGGGAGGCAGCAGUAGGGAAUCUUCCGCAAUGGACGCAAGUCUGACGGAGCAACGCCGCGUGAGUGAAGAAGGUUUUCGGAUCGUAAAACUCUGUUGUUAGAGAAGAACAAGUGCUAGAGUAACUGUUAGCGCCUUGACGGUAUCUAACCAGAAAGCCACGGCUAACUACGUG